rnacentral:rRNA from 1 species
UACGGAGGGUGCGAGCGUUGUUCGGAAUUAUUGGGCGUAAAGCGCGUGUAGGCGGUUUAUUAAGUCUGAUGUGAAAGCCCCGGGCUCAACCUGGGAAGUGCAUUGGAUACUGGUAGACUUGAGUACGGGAGAGGAGAGUGGAAUUCCCAGUGUAGGAGUGAAAUCCGUAGAUAUUGGGAGGAACACCGGUGGCGAAGGCGGCUCUCUGGACCGAUACUGACGCUGAGACGCGAAAGCGUGGGUAGCAAACAGG